rnacentral:tRNA from 1 species
CGGGAUGUAGCUCAGAUAGGCAGAGCGCAUGCAUGGGGUGCAUGAGGUCGCAGGGGCGGAACCUGUCAUCCCGA